CAACCUCUCCAGCUUGCUGGGUCUUGGGCCCCGCCAUCGACGCGGGCCUUAAAAUCAGUGGCGGUCCUGCCAGGCUCUAAGCGCAGUAACUUCUCUCGCUAUAGGGUCCUGGUGGGUGCUGGCCAGCAAACCUCAUCUUUCUAAU
rnacentral:misc_RNA from 1 species